rnacentral:rRNA from 1 species
AUGGCCGUGGCCCUGGGAGUUGGUACGGUGGAAGCAACACUUGAAGGACCUGGCGUGGGUGGUCGGUGCGCAGGCGCACUUGGAAGCGGGCCCGUGGCCGCACCGGACGGUGCCGAUGCCGACCCAGGCCACCUCAUUCGCGUAUUCUUGGAGAUGUGGCUGGCCGAUUUACAUGAAAUUAAUUCCCUCAGUUGUGGUGGCAAAUAUAAUACACAUAAUCCAUAUUAUUAUGCACUAGCGUGUGUGUGUGUGAAAUAG